rnacentral:rRNA from 1 species
CGGAGGGAUCAUUACUGAGUUUACGCUCUACAACCCUUUGUGAACAUACCUAUAACUGUUGCUUCGGCGGGUAGGGUCUCCGCGACACUCCCGGCCUCCCGCCCCCGGGCGGGUCGGCGCCCGCCGGAGGAUAACCAAACUCUGAUGUAACGACGUUUCUUCUGAGUGGUACAAGCAAAUAAUCAAAACUUUUAACAACGGAUCUCUUGGUUCUGGCAUCGAUGAAGAACGCAGCGAAAUGCGAUAAGUAAUGUGAAUUGCAGAAUUCAGUGAAUCAUCGAAUCUUUGAACGCACAUUGCGCCCGCCAGCAUUCUGGCGGGCAUGCCUGUUCGAGCGUCAUUUCAACCCUCAAGCUCUGCUUGGUGUUGGGGCCCUACAGCUGAUGUAGGCCCUCAAAGGUAGUGGCGGACCCUCCCGGAGCCUCCUUUGCGUAGUAACUUUACGUCUCGCACUGGGAUCCGGAGGGACUCUUGCCGUAAAACCCCCAAUUCUCCAAAGGUUGACCUC